rnacentral:rRNA from 1 species
AUGGAGUCACUGUUGGGAUACCACCCUUAUAGUAUUGGAUUUCUAACCUGCGCCCGUGAUCCGGGCGGGGGACAAUGUCUGGUGGGGAGUUUGACUGGGGCGGUCGCCUCCGAAAGGGUAUCGGAGGCGCUCAAAGGUUCCCUCAAAAUGGUUGGAAACCAUUUGAAGAGUGCAAAGGCAGAAGGGAGCUUGACUGUGACACCGACGGGUGGAGCAGGUACGAAAGUAGGACUUAGUGAUCCGGUGGUAUAAAGUGGGAUUGCCAUCGCUCAACGGAUAAAAGCUACCCUGGGGAUAACAGGCUGAUCACUCCCAAGAGUUCACAUCGACGGAGUGGUUUGGCACCUCGAUGUCGGCUCAUCGCAUCCUGGGGCUGUAGCAAGUCCCAAGGGUUGGGCUGUUCGCCCAUUAAAGCGGUACGCGAGCUGGGUUCAGAACGUCGUGAGACAGUUCGGUCCCUAUCCGGCGUAGGCGAAGGAUAUUUGAGAGGAGCUGCCCUUAGUACGAGAGGACCGGGGUGGACGGACCGCCGGUGCAUCAGUUGGGAACCAAUCCCAUAGCUGAGUAGCCGUGUCCGGCAGGGAUAAACGCUGAAGGCAUCUAAGCGUGAAGCCCCCCUCAAGAUGAGAUAUCCCUGUAGUAAUACGUAAGACCCCUUGAAGACGACGAGGUAGAUAGGGCCAAGGUGUAAGUGCAGUAAUGUACUCAGCUGAUGGUUACUAAUAG